rnacentral:lncRNA from 1 species
CUUAUGAUGAUGCUGAGAAGGCAAAGGAUAGCAUUGGGAUCCGUCCUGGUAAAGGUAAAAUGAGGAACCGUCGUUACAUUUCUAGGAAAGGUCCUCUUGUGGUUUAUGGAACUGAAGGAGCUAAGAUAGUUAAGGCGUUUAGGAAUCUUCCUGGUGUUGAGCUCUGUCAUGUGGAGAGGCUUAAUUUGUUGAAGCUUGCUCCUGGUGGUCACCUUGGGCGGUUUGUGAUCUGGACCAAGUCUGCUUUUGAGAAGCUUGAGUCUAUCUAUGGUUCGUUUGAGAAGCCAUCAGAGAAAAAGAAGGGAUAUGUGCUUCCUCGUGCAAAGAUGGUGAAUGCUGAUCUUGCCAGGAUUAUCAACUCAGAUGAGAUUCAGAGUGUUGUGAAGCCGAUCAAGAAGGAUUCGAAGAGGGCUGUUCUUAAGAAGAAUCCAUUGAAGAAUCUGAAUGUGAUGUUGAAGCUGAAUCCUUAUGCUAAGACUGCUAAGAGGAUGUCACUGUUGGCUGAAGCACAAAGAGUUAAGGCUAAGAAGGAGAAGCUUUCCAAGAAGAGGAAAACCGUUACCAAGGUAAUCUUAAUACUUCUCUUUUUCGUAUAUCAACCAUUUUUGGAUUGUCUUUGUUUAGUUACUGAUUUCAUUCUGAUUUGUGUAUCAUUUGGCUUAACUGAUAGUGAGGAGUUUGUGUAUGACUAAUUGUGAGGAAUUUGUUUACAUUCUAUGUUAAGCUGUAAAAUAAUAUGUUCCCUUCUUGUUUAGUGUGUGAGUGGAUUCAAAAUUGUAGUCUUUCUUUACUAGAUCUUACCUGUUCUGUUCUGUUCUGAGUUGUGGUCUAUUUGUUUCGUCUUGUAAAUUGGUAUUAUUCUUUGUCUUGAUAUUGAUUUUGGGUUGAGCUUUUUAAGCACUUAAAUCUCUUAGCUCUUUCUUGUGAGAUUUUUCUUCAUUUGUCCUCUUUACUAACUCUCUCUCUUUACAUCAGGAGGAGGCGUUGGCAAUCAAAGCAGCAGGCAAGUCGUGGUACCAGACUAUGAUCUCCGACAGUGAUUACACCGAGUUUGAUAACUUCACCAAAUGGCUCGGUGCUAGCCAGUAAUAAAUCAUCUGCUGUGGAACACUUUCCAUAUUUUUAGUCAAAGAUUUUGUUUUUUUUU